UACGAAGGGUGCAAGCGUUGUUCGGAAUUACUGGGCGUAAAGCGCGCGUAGGUGGGGUUAAAAGUCGAAUGUGAAAUCCCUGGGCUUAACCUGGGAAUGGCAUUCGAUACUGUAACUCUUGAAUGUUCGAGGGGGUGGCGGAAUUCCAGGUGUAGAAGUGAAAUUCGUAGAUAUCUGGAGGAACAUCCGAGGCGAAGGCGGCCACCUGGUGAAACAUUGACACUGAGGCGCGAAAGCGUGGGGAGCAAAC
rnacentral:rRNA from 1 species